UGGGGCAAGCCCAGGCAAAGCUGAGCAGCACAGUGCAUGUGGACCGCAGACCAAGCCAGCAUCUGGUGAUUCCCUUUGGGGAAAUAGAACCAUGCCGAGAAUUGGGGAGCUGCCAGUGGGAAAUUCACACAGGUGAAUGCAACAGGACACAUCUGAAUGGCUUGAAGAAGCUGAGGUCAGAAAAAUGCACUUGUGCAACUGAAAGAGAUCAUCUAGCCCCAGACAGGCUGUUUUCUUUUUUCCCUACAAUGGAAUCAAACUCUGUCACUUCAGACAUGGUGCCAGUGAGACCAGCCCUUCAGAUAAGCAGAGUCAGUGCCCAUUGAGUUAAUGUGACUUGAGAGGAGCCAAAAAGCCUGCCUGCCAAGGUGCCUAAGGUUUCAACCAUGUAAGUCACUCCAGUGAAUGGGACGUCGCUUUUCCAAAAUGCUCCUGUCACAAGUGCUAAUGCAGGCCUAGCGCAGCGCUCAGGCCAUCACAGCCACUCAAUGUUUAUUGAACGAAUGAAAGAAUGAUUGUUUCCUGUGAAGGAUAAUAAGCUGUGAUUAUAUUGGGUGGACUAUAUGCCAAAAAUAUAUUCAGUGAUGGAAAUUGGAUAACAGCCAGCAAAAUAUCUGCGAACUCAAAAUAUUUUGCCCAAGUUUGACCAAAGAUUUAAAAAAAAACUCUCAUUUGAUCCAUAGGAAUAUAUUAACUUUGAUUUAAAAUUGUAUGAAUGAUCAAGUUAUCUAUAAUAAAUUCUACCAUUCAUUCACAUUUCACAUAACAAACAUUUAUUGAGCAGUUAGUAAGUGUGAGAUACAUGCCAGAACUGGGGCAAGAGCAGCGAACCAGGUAGACACAGCCCUGACUUCAUUCAAUCUGCUGUCCUCUAAGGAAAGGGACAUUAAAAAAUCAUCUUUCAUUAUAAUUGUGACAAGUAUGCACAAGGAAAACAGAUUAAAUGCAUGGGAAACAGAUUAAUGGAAACCCAAGCCAGCACAGGAAAGUCAGGAAAAGACUCUCUGAGGAAGUAACAUUGAAGAGGCUUGGAGACUGGGGAAGAGUUAGCCAGAUAGAAGAAGAUCAGUGUGGGGAAGAAGGAGUGUAUUUGGGAGCUUUAAGUUACCUACAAGUCAAAUAAAACCCAGAGCAAAUUUGCUCAAGACACUAAAAGGUGUUAAUGUGAUAGCUUCCAGCACAGUUUGUCCAAGGCUCUGCUUUUGUUUCUUUGAGUCUGUUUUGCCAAUUUUUAUAUGUUGGUUUCAGUCCCUCAGUUUUUAUUAUGAUAAUGUGUACCAACAACAGCCAGGGUUUUUAUUCACUUUCAAGGGUUCCCUCUUUAUGCUUAUUAGGCUACCACAAACCAUUUCUUCUAACCAGUGGAUGCCUCUUGGCUGACUUAGGACUUUGUUACCUGAAUCAGUCAUUCUGGUAAAAAAAAAAAUGAGUGGGAUUUGUGCCCUCUUGGUCCCCAGAGUGGGUCUCUUACAUCCAAAUUUUAUGGCUGCUACACGUAGGAGAGCUCUGUGAGUGUGUGGAGAAGGCAACCACAAUUUCCAUCAAGGCAGAAAACUAUUCUGAUCAAAGACAGAAAUGUGUUCAAAGAACCUUAGGUGAUUAGCUUAGAUGUUUUAGGAUCUGAUAUAAAUCUCAUGCGAAAAGCAGAAAAUUAAGAGAAAUAAGACAGGGCUGCAGUCAGGGAUGGGCCAGAUCUUGCAGGGGCUUGAAUUCCAUGUUAAAAAUUUUUGGACAUUUUAUUAAGGUUAAUGUAAAGUUUCUGUUGUAUGUCAUGAUCAAAUUCAUAUUAAAAAAAACAUAUGUAGAACUCUGACCAGUGUGGCUCAGUUGGUUAGGAGUCAUUCCUAGAGCAAAAGUCGCCAGUCUGAUUCCCAGUCAGGGCACAUGCCUGGGGUGCAGGGUCAGUCCAGUCAGGGUGUUAAGAGAAGCAACCAAUCAAUGUUUCUUUCUCACAUUGAUGUUUCUCUCCUUCUCUUUCUCCCUCCCUUCCCCUAUCUCUAAUAAUAACUUUUUUUAAGUUAAAAAAUAAAAAACCAUUCAUGAAUAAAAGGAAAAAUUUCAUCAUAUAUAUUUUAUACAUGUAUGUAUAAACAUAGACUAUCUAUGAAUAUAUAUGACAAGUUGGUAGAUGUAGUUGCUCAUAGGAAGAGGUCCUUGGGAACUAGAGGACUGACUUAGUACAGAAACUUUUCAUCGCAUUCACUUUUGAACUUGCCUCCUUUUUUUUAACCCACAUUCAUACACUGUUUUUACACUGAAAACUACAGCACAAUAAAUUCGUUGAUUUAACUGAAUACUCUCUCUGCCCACUAUAUGUACGGAAAAACUGAAGGUGGGGAAGAGUAAAAAAAAGUAGGCAAGACAGGAGGCUCCUGCAACUGGCCAGGCAGGAGAAAUUCAUCACUUGGCUUCUGAAGGUACAGAAACAGAAUUUGAGCCCAGUCACCUAUAACUGAGGAUCCUGCCCUUAUCCAUCCCCUUAGCUGAGCUCUGUAUUCCUAUGGGUGGUACGCAGAGGUAAAGCAGAAUGAAAUAGCUGCGGAGCCAAAGCUAUUUCUGAGCAUGCGAUGCAAUAUGGGGAGGAGGUCUCAGAAAAAGCCAGAACCCAUUCCUAUGAUUAUAAGAGGAUGAUGGGAGCUUGGGGAAAGGGGACAAGUUUUUAUUUGUGCAGAGCUGCAAACUUAAUCGAUUUACCUGAGCUACUGAUAUCCCCAGCUGUAAAAUUAUGCAAAUGUAACACCUCUGAAAAUGAGACUCUGCAUCUGAGUUGAACUCUUGAGAUCCCAGAUUGUGGAAUGGGGGCCUUGAAUCCUCUCUGGCAGGCAGUCCACACCGAACAACAAAAUGGGAAGCUUCAGCCAGCUUUCACCCCGCAAGCUGACUUCAUGUCUGAGCUGGGCAGAGUUGAACUGAAUGAUAUGUAAUGUGUUCACACAGCUAGCACGAGUAAAUAAAUGAUUACCAAAAAGGAUGAAUGAAUGUUAGUAGCAAUUUUAGCAAUAAUUAUGCACAGUUACAAGAAAUAAAAUGAAUUUUGGGAGAACACAACACCCAGUCCAUUGCAACAGGAGACUCUGCAUGUACAUCGUGCCUCUGUCUCACUGUAUUUAAUCCUCCCCAUCUCACAAUUCACAUCCUCCAUAAACUCCUGUUCUUAUCCCGCAGAUGGGAUGAAACUAUGCCUCUUGAACAUCUUAUCACUUCAUGAUACUUCCUUUAUUUUAUUAAUGGGUACCCUACAGCUUAGUGCUAACAAGCAAGCGAUCUGGAAAUUGAGUUCAAGCUCUUGGUCUACCAUUUCCUACCUUUACUAGUUAUGUGGCCUUGGGCA